rnacentral:snRNA from 1 species
GUGAUCGCUUCGGCAGCACAUAUACUAAAAUUGAAACAAAACAGAGAUUAACAUGGUCCAUGCACAAGGAUGAUAUACAAAUUUGUGAAGUGUUCCAUAUUUUU